rnacentral:rRNA from 1 species
GAUGAACGCUGGCGGCGUGCUUAACACAUGCAAGUCGAACGGAAAACCUUUUAUUGAAGCUUCGGCAGAUUUAGCUGGUUUCUAGUGGCGGACGGGUGUGUAACGCGUGGGUAACCUGCCUUGUACAGGGGGAUAACAGUCAGAAAUGACUGCUAAUACCGCAUAAGCGCACGGAGCUGCAUGGCUCAGUGUGAAAAACUCCGGUGGUAUAAGAUGGACCCGCGUUGGAUUAGCUAGUUGGUGAGGUAACGGCCCACCAAGGCGACGAUCCAUAGCCGGCCUGAGAGGGUGAACGGCCACAUUGGGACUGAGACACGGCCCAGACUCCUACGGGAGGCAGCAGUGGGGAAUAUUGCACAAUGGGGGAAACCCUGAUGCAGCGACGCCGCGUGAAGGAAGAAGUAUCUCGGUAUGUAAACUUCUAUCAGCAGGGAAGAAAAUGACGGUACCUGACUAAGAAGCCCCGGCUAACUACGUGCCAGCCGCCGCCGUAA